rnacentral:rRNA from 1 species
UACGUAGGGGGCAAGCGUUGUCCGGAAUUAUUGGGCGUAAAGCGCGUGUAGGCGGUCCGGUAAGUCGGUUGUGAAAGUCCAGGGCUCAACCCUGGGAUGCCGACCGAUACUGUCGGACUAGAGUUCGGAAGAGGCGAGUGGAAUUCCCGGUGUAGCGGUGAAAUGCGCAGAUAUCCGGAGGAACACCAGUGGCGAAGGCGGCUUUCUGGCCUGUUCUUGACGCUGAGGCGCGAAAGCUAGGGGAGCGAACGGG